rnacentral:rRNA from 1 species
UACGGGGGGGGCAAGCGUUGUUCGGAAUUACUGGGCGUAAAGGGCUCGUAGGCGGCCAACUAAGUCGGAUGUGAAAUCCCCCAGGCUCAACCUGGGAACUGCAUCCGAUACUGGAUGGCUUGAAUUCGGGAGAGGGAUGCAGAAUUCCAGGUGUAGCGGUGAAAUGCGUAGAUAUCUGGAGGAAUACCGGUGGCGAAGGCGGCAUCCUGGACCGACAUUGACGCUGAGGAGCGAAAGCUAGGGGGAGCAAACGGGG